UAGUCAUAUGCUCGUCUCAAAGACUAAGCCAUGCAUGUGUAAGUAUAAACGAUUCUAUACUGUGAAACUGCGAAUGGCUCAUUAAAUCAGUUAUAGUUUAUUUGAUAGUAUUUUUUACUACAUGGAUAACCGUGGUAAUUCUAGAGCUAAUACAUGCGAAAGAUCCCGACUUUUGUGGAAGGGAUGUAUUUAUUAGAUAAAAAACCAAUGGAGGGGCAACUCUUCUGAAGAACUUUUAGUUUUUCUAACUUUGGUGAUUCAUAAUAACUUUUUCGAA
rnacentral:rRNA from 1 species